GCCGACUGGUUCAGCCUCAUCUUGGGAGGCCGGGGACCCCUGAGCCCUUCUUCGGUAUUGGGAGACUGCUGUCCAGAGCCUGCAGAGGAGACCACCACUAGGAAACAAUCAAGAGUCUUCUUUAAAGAAUCGUAAGAAAAGAGAAUUUCAAAGCUGCACCACUAAAUACUUACUUCUUUAGGAGCCCUUAUGUCAAAAGCUACAGUAUAUAAUUCUAGACUUGUCUAGACUGCCAAAAUGCAGUUCUUAAAUAGAGCUCUGUCCCCUUGUAUUUGGGCUCCAGUAGGGCAUGUAUAGGAGGGCCAGGUGGCUGUGUGCAGGGCAGGCUGAGGAAAGAAGGUCUGGAGAGAGUCCGGAGGGCAGAGGACUGCUGGGGGGGGGUGGUGGGGAGCUCUCAGGUUUCUCGUCCCUUUGGUACCCAACUUUAUCGUAAGAAAACUCCAGAGUUAGAGGGGAAGUUGGGUAGUUGGUUUUCUGACUAAGCCACAGAUAAGAAAAUUAAUUUCAAUGAAGGGGGAAAGUGACCACCACUUUGUUUUCUACUGAUUUAGAAGCACAAUCACAGGAAAAAAGUCAUUUUCUAUUACAAUGUUUUGAAGCCAUUCUUACCGUAGUCUAAGGUGUCUUAGAUCUUCCUUAGUGAUGUCAUUAAGAAUAUCAGAAAGGGUAUAGCCCUCUUCAACAAUCUGAAACAAAUAUCAAAUACAGAAGAGCUAAGCUGCUUUGUAAUAAUGACAUAGGAAUGUGUGUUUUUUGUCACAAAUUUACCUUUUCUAUUGUACUUGCAUCUGCUCCUUGCAGUUGUAACCAGUCUAUGAGCUUUUGAUCAGUUUUUUGCCCCUGAGACCCAGGAGGGGAUGCUGGGUUCUCUGUAGUAUCUGCAAUGAUGAGAAAUUUGUUUUGUUGUAUAUUAAUGUUUAACAGUAAAACUCUUCAAAAGUAACAGGUUGGAUGAAAUAAACUAUUACAACGUAAGUGUGAUUUGAAAGGAUAUGAAUUAAACCUGUCUGAGCUGCUCUAAUCCACAGUCCGAAGUUCCUGGAUUCACUUUCCAGAGAUUAAAGGGACCACAGGAACCAGAAGAUAACCUGAGGGUGAUCAGUAAACUCAGCCAGGAGGAGCUGGUGAUGACAUCUUGUCUCCCGGAGUCACAUCAAGGUGCUGAAAGGAGCUCUCAGGGUCUUUCCUCCUCAGGAGGAAGCCAAGGAGCUGGCAGCCCAGCGCGUGCCGGGCAGUGGCGGGAGAGCACCAACAGAAAGAUGACCUCCCGGAGGAGGAAUACACCUGCGAACGUGUAUGGGACCGAGGACUGUGCUAAUUGCUUCACAGGCGCUGGACAGAGCAGGUCCGCCCAGGCACCACGGCUCCGGGCAGGACGCCCGGUCCUCGCGCUCUGCACGACAGCAGCUCCUGCGUCCCCAUGAGCUAGGGCCUGGCGGCCACGGAGAACAACAUAUCUGUCAGCCAUCUGCAGCCGGUGCCGGCUGUUAGUCCUCCUCCCGAGACCCCAAGGAAGCAGAGGGACUAUUGACAGUGCCCAUGAAGCUCAGAGCGAACAGUUUCUACAUUUGGUGAUUAUAAACCCUACUGGAAAAUAUUUUAAGGAAGUGCUAAGUAUUACUAUCAACUUCCACAUCUGUCAUAUUUUAAAAGCUUUCAAUAUUUUGCCCCCACUACCUUUUAAUUAAAACUCCGGGUCUCCCAAAAACUUUAAAACAA